UACGUAGGGUGCAAGCGUUAAUCGGAAUUACUGGGCGUAAAGCGUGCGCAGGCGGUUUUGUAAGACAGGUGUGAAAUCCCCGGGCUUAACCUGGGUACUGCAUUUGUGACUGCAAGGCUGGAGUGCGGCAGAGGGGGAUGGAAUUCCGCGUGUAGCAGUGAAAUGCGUAGAUAUGCGGAGGAACACCGAUGGCGAAGGCAAUCCCCUGGGCCUGCACUGACGCUCAUGCACGAAAGCGUGGGGAGCAAACAGG
rnacentral:rRNA from 1 species